GAUGAACGCUGACAGAAUGCUUAACACAUGCAAGUCAACUUGAAUUUGGGUUUUUAACUUAGGUUUGGGUGGCGGACGGGUGAGUAACGCGUAAAGAACUUGCCUCACAGCUAGGGACAACAUUUGGAAACGAAUGCUAAUACCUAAUAUUAUGAUAAUAGGGCAUCCUAUAAUUAUGAAAGCUAUAAGCGCUGUGAGAGAGCUUUGCGUCCCAUUAGCUAGUUGGAGAGGUAACAGCUCACCAAGGCGAUGAUGGGUAGCCGGCCUGAGAGGGUGAUCGGCCACAAGGGGACUGAGACACGGCCCUUACUCCUACGGGAGGCAGCAGUGGGGAAUAUUGGACAAUGGACCAAGAGUCUGAUCCAGCAAUUCUGUGUGCACGAUGAAGUUUUUCGGAAUGUAAAGUGCUUUCAGUUGGGAAGAAACAAAUGACGGUACCAACAGAAGAAGUGACGGCUAAAUACGUGCCAGCAGCCGCGGUAAUACGUAUGUCACGAGCGUUAUCCGGAUUUAUUGGGCGUAAAGCGCGUCUAGGUGGUUAUGUAAGUCUGAUGUGAAAAUGCAGGGCUCAACUCUGUAUUGCGUUGGAAACUGUAUAACUAGAGUACUGGAGAGGUAAGCGGAACUACAAGUGUAGAGGUGAAAUUCGUAGAUAUUUGUAGGAAUGCCGAUGGGGAAGCCAGCUUACUGGACAGAUACUGACGCUGAAGCGCGAAAGCGUGGGGUAGCAAACAGG
rnacentral:rRNA from 1 species